AUUAAAAUUACCUGGAAGUGGACAGAGUAUAUUUGAUGAGUGCCAAUUUACAGUGGAAGAAAAAUAAACAUUCAGCUUCAAGACUAAUCAAUCGACGAAGCCAUGGCUGUGACAAACCUAAACUUCACAUGUCUUAACAGAUCUGCAUACAUGAUGCUUCGAAGGAAAAUAAAGAAAACCAACAAAGACAAUAAGCUGCUCCUUCUUCAUUUAGCCCAUCUCACUGUUGACUUCUCCAGAGAAGACGCUGUAACAGAGUUUGAAGAACAAGAUCUUUCUUGGAAAUCAACACCUGUGAAAGCAAGAGGGUAUAAGCAGAAUUGUGCAGAGGAAGAAGGAAGAACAUGGAGCUGCUCUCCCUGAAGUGAAAGAUGGGACCCGGAGCCCUUAACCCCAGAGGUUCCUUUGCAUCUGUCCUCUGACUGCAUGGAACACGGUGUUUUAAGUCAUUGGAUUGGAUGACUUCCAGGGUCACUUUUACUCAUACAUUUUAUGAUUCCAGGGUCCAAGAAUGACGGUAUUAUAUGUAAGAACUCUGAAGACUCAAAGAGAAGAACAACUAGAAUUCUUCUUUCUUUCCUAUUGUUCAUAAACAUGGUAUUAAAAUGACCACUAAAGAGCAGAA
rnacentral:lncRNA from 10 species